rnacentral:rRNA from 1 species
GACUACAUGAAGCUGGAAUCGCUAGUAAUCGCGAAUCAGCAUGUCGCGGUGAAUACGUUCCCGGGUCUUGUACACACCGCCCGUCACACCAUGGGAGUUGGAAAUGCCCGAAGUCAGUGACCCAACCGAAAGGAGGGAGCUGCCGAAGGCAGGUUCGAUAACUGGGGUGAAGUCGUAACAAGGUAAC